AGUCGUAUAUACGACCUCGGGGGCGUUCUUUUUGCAACUUCCGGUUCGUAACGACUCGUAGAUCGACUUCGGUGGACAAAAAGAACGCACCAUAAAGCUGCAGAAGAUGGAACUCAGUUAAGUACAUCAAAUGUGUACUUAACAGUACCUAAUCUAUUCUUUAACAUUCAAGACCCCCGGAAAGCAACUGCAGAACGACGUAUCUCAGCAGAGUCCUGCAGCAGCCGCCCAGAGUCGGACCGCAGGGAAUGCACGAGUCUCCUCUGCCCAUUCUCACGUUCCAGACCGGGGUCCCUACGAGGAGGAGCAGUAUCCCUAUCCACUGCGGAGGGAAUGACCUGG